rnacentral:rRNA from 1 species
UGGGGAAUUUUCCGCAAUGGGCGCAAGCCUGACGGAGCAACGCCGCGUGAGGGAGGACGGCCUGUGGGUUGUAAACCUCUUUUCUCAAGGAAGAAGAUUCUGACGGUACUUGAGGAAUCAGCAUCGGCUAACUCCGUGCCAGCAGCCGCGGUAAGACGGAGGAUGCAAGCGUUAUCCGGAAUUAUUGGGCGUAAAGCGUCCGUAGGUGGUUUUGCAAGUCAGUUGUUAAAGCUCGCAGCUCAACUGCGAAUCGGCAAAUGAAACUGUAAGACUAGAGUGUGGAAGGGGUAGAGGGAAUUCCUAGUGUAGCGGUGAAAUGCGUAGAUAUUAGGAAGAACACCAGUGGCGAAGGCGCUCUACUGGGCCACAACUGACACUGAUGGACGAAAGCUAGGGGAGCGAAAGGGAUUAGAUACCCCCGUAGUCC